GCCAUGUUGGUGUGUUUUCAUUACCUUUUAUUAUACCUGUUGUGUUCAUAUGAUUUCUGUCUUUAUCAUUUCAUAACACUCAGAAGGUAGUGUGCGCCAAAUCUUACACAUUUGUUCUGUUGCUCACUGUUUGCAGGUGGAGGCAGGUCGAUUGUUGGGGAAGGUGACGGUACAGACACCAGUGAACCAGACUGGGUGUUUGGCUCUCGCCGUGCUGCCAACCGCAACAAGACCGAGGUUAACUCAAUCACCAACACCAUGAAUGAGAUGAGUGAGAGGCCCCCGCUGGUGGAAAUGAGCUACAUAUCCCUGAACCACACCAACCAUCUGAGCUCCAACAGACAGGAGGAGGUGGCUGUGUAAUGUUGGGCCAGAAGGUACUUGGAGGCAUGAGAUGCUGAUGUUUGUAUGUGACUUGAUUCUUUUUGGCUGAAAUGACAGAUGAGGGCAGCUACAGCUUGUUUGGACAAGCAGCCGGAGAGACAACUGUUAUUUUUUCAUGCUUAGUCCUCAUCGUGCCAACCCUUUUAUUUCUCUAAGUUACCCCUCAUCCAUUUAAAAUGAAAACACCAAUGCAAACAAUAUUUAAUCGCUCUAGAUAUACAACACAUGGUGGUCAGUGCUUAUUGUAACAUUUCUGAUAGCAAAGUGAAAAACUUCACCCUCAUGAGAACAGUUAGAUUAACACUUUUGUCAUUUUCGCUGAGGCUGCGAGAUUAGGUUUUGCAUAAUCUAUAUAAAUUUGUAUCUCUUUCUAUAUGAUGAUACUGUAAUUACCAAAGGCAAGUCUAUCCCUAAAGAUUAAAUAAAAUCAUUUGGUAGUUUCAUGGUAUUAGCUUGAUGUAAGAGGAAACAAGUGCUAAGUCACCUUCAAGAGCUCUGAUUAUACCUGCUGUCAACUCUCAAAAAAUGUGCAUUGCUUUUAAUGUCAUUAUUGGUUACAUGUCACAUGGAAUGGCUUUUGUCAAAGCCUUUGUUUACCUUUAUUACCUCACUGUUAAGGGCUACAUACUGCUGCUGAUGACACUGCUCACAGACACAAAUAAUGGGGCUUAUUUCUCCUUUGCAUGUGGUCCUUAUCCUCUGCACACAUGGAUCUACUAUAAACAGUAUCUUUGAAGGGUCUGUUCUACCUGAAAGUACUGAUGUUAGAACUCCAAUUUUCUCUCUCAUUUAUAAUAGGUUUGAAUAAAAGGUUCGAGGAACAGGCGUCUGGUUCACAUCAACAAGAUCUUAGUUUGUCCCUUCCCCAAUCUGCAAGACUUUUUUUUUAAGAGUCUUGUUCCUCAAAUAUGUUAAUCAC
ensembl:lncRNA